AUGCCAGGUCUGAUCUGGUUGUGCGUCCUCUUGAUCGUCUCCUGCCAUGAUGGCGUUGAUGGCGUCACGGAGUUCAUAUACAAUGGGUUCGCCGGCAGCAAGCUCCGCCUCGACGGCGAGGCUUCCAUCUCAAAACAAGGCGUCCUCUCUCUAACGAGGGACAGCUACUUCACCCAGGGGCAUGGCUUCCAUCCAGAACCUCUUCCGUUUGUCAAUUCCCAUGGUGUGUCCAUGAGCUUCUCUGCCACUUUCGUGUUCUCCAUUACGCCCAGCGACUAUGGCGGUUCCGGAGACGGGAUGGCGUUUGUCAUCUCCUUGGCCCCGCUAUCUGGUAUCUGGACAGAUGGGAAAUACUUGGGACUUGUCAAUGAGGAGGACGACGGUUCCAUACUUGCAAACCGUUUCUUCGCCAUCGAGCUCGACACAGGAGUCAACAAGGAGUUCGGAGAUAUAGAUGACAACCAUGUCGGGGCUGAUCUCAACAACCUGACGUCCACUGUCUCUUCAACCGCAGGCUACUACAGCGGCAAUGUCGAGAAGGACUUCAAUCCGCUGAGGCUUUCUAGUGGAAACCCAAUGCAAGUGUGGGUGGACUACAUCGAUAUGCAGCUUGACAUCAGGCUUGCUCCUGUCGCCAUGUAUAAGCCCUCAUUACCGCUUUUGUCUUACUACCCUGUCGACCUUGCAAAGGUCCUCAAGAAUGACACCAAAUCAAAGGCAGGGGUUCCAACCACAGCAUACGUCGGUUUCUCUGCCUCCAACGGUGAUUGGCCAGAUUGGUGUGCGGCCCAUCAGAUUCUUGGGUGGAGCUUUAACAUGUAUGGACCGGCCGAACCACUUAACUUAUCACUGCUGCUGCGGCCAUUAAUACAAGUCCAAGAUAGUUCCAGACAAGAAGCCCAUGACAAGAAAAAAGUCGUCAAAUGGGUGACUGCAACUAUAUCUUCCCUUGCCAUACUUGCAGGUAUAACAGCUUGCCUUCUCCUUCGAUGGUGGUGGUGCAAGACGAGGAACUCAGAGUGGAACGAAGAUUGGGAGGCUGAGCUUGGCCCCCGCCGCUUCGCAUACCGGGACCUCCACAGGGCAACGGAUGGCUUCCGCGACAUGCAGCUUCUGGGAAAAGGCGGCUUUGGGCAAGUCUAUAGAGGAGCCCUGGGCAGCUCUGGGAUGGACAUCGCGGUGAAGCGGAUCUCCUCAGAAUCCAAGCAGGGGCUGGCCGAAUUCACAGCUGAAAUCAUCAUCCUUGGCCGCCUACGGCACCGGAACCUCGUUCGCUUGAUCGGCUAUUGUCGGCACAAGAAGGAGAUGCUCCUGGUCUACGAGUGCAUGCCCAACGGCAGCCUGGAUAGCUACCUGCAUGCCCAGACAAGGCAUGCAAUGCUCUCCUGGUCUCAGAGGCUUCAGAUCAUCAAAGGCGUUGCGUCCGGGCUUCUGUACCUCCAUGAGGACUGGGAACAAGUCAUCAUACACCGUGACGUCAAGGCCAGCAACGUGCUCCUGGAUGGGGAGAUGAAUGGUCGGCUGGGUGACUUCGGCCUUGCCAGGCUGCACGACCAUGGUGCUGAUGCGCACACCACCCACGUGGCCGGCACGAGGGGCUACCUUGCCCCUGAGCUAACGAGGUUCGGCAAGGCGACCAAAGCAACUGACGUGUUUGCGUUUGGUGCCUUUGUCCUAGAGGUGGCCUGCGGGAGGCGGCCGGUGGGGUUCAACGCCCGCGGCGAGCUUCUGGUGAUCGUCCAAUGGGUGCGAGACACGUGGGCGAGCGGCUCCGGCUCAAUCGUCGACACCAUUGACCCAAGGCUGGACGAGUAUGCUGCUGAUGAGGCGGAGCUGGUGCUCAAGCUGGGGCUGUUGUGCUCGCACCCUUUACCUGUGGCGAGGCCCAGCAUACGCCUUGUUAUGUGGUACCUCGAUGGAGAUUUAUCCUUGCCCGAGUUCUCUCCUGAAUAUCUCAACAUUACAGAUGUCGAUCAGGUUCUUGAUGAAGUGCCUCCGUCAGUGGCGAACAGCAUUACAGGUCUGUCUGGAGGUAGAUGA
rnacentral:rRNA from 1 species